GAUGAAGAACGCAGCGAAAUGCGAUACUUGGUGUGAAUUGCAGAAUCCCGUGAACCAUCGAGUCUUUGAACGCAAGUUGCGCCCGAAGCCGUCAGGCCGAGGGCACGCCUGCCUGGGCGUCACACGCCGUUGCCCCCCCGCGCCCCGCACCCAACUCUUUGGGAGCGACCGCGGGGCGGGCUGAUGAUGGCCUCCCGUGCGCUCCGCCGCGCGGUUGGCCCAAAUACCGAGUCCCCGGCGACGUGCGCCACGACGAUCGGUGCUUGAGAGACCUCUGUCGCAAGUCGUGCGCGCCCGUCGCGUCACGCGGGCUCGCAUAGCGCCUCGCGCCGCACCCGGUGCGGAGCUUUCAACGCGACCCCAGGUCAGGCGGGGUUACCCGCUGAAUUUAAGCAUAUCAAUAAGCGGAGGA
rnacentral:misc_RNA from 1 species